CCUACGGGAGGCAGCAGUGAGGAAUAUUGGUCAAUGGACGAGAGUCUGAACCAGCCAAGUAGCGUGAAGGAUGACUGCCCUAUGUGUUGUAAACUUCUUUUAUAUGGGAAUAAAAUGUUCCACGUUGGGGAUUUUGUAUGUACCAUAUGAAUAAGGAUCGGCUAACUCCGUGCCAGCAGCCGCGGUAAUACGGAGGAUCCGAGCGUUAUCCGGAUUUAUUGGGUUUAAAGGGAGCGUAGGUGGAUUGUUAAGUCAGUUGUGAAAGUUUGCGGCUCAACCGUAAAAUUGCAGUUGAAACUGGCAGUCUUGAGUACAGUAGAGGUGGGCGGAAUUCGUGGUGUAGCGGUGAAAUGCUUAGAUAUCACGAAGAACUCCGAUUGCGAAGGCAGUUCACUGGACUGCAACUGACACUGAGGCUCGAAAGUGUGGGUAUCAAACAGGAUUAGAUACCCCUGUAGUC
rnacentral:rRNA from 1 species